rnacentral:rRNA from 1 species
UACGUAGGUGGCAAGCGUUGUACGGAAUUAUUGGGCGUAAAGCGCGCGAAGGCGGUUUCUUAAGUCUGAUGUGAAAGCCCCCGGCUCAACCGGGGAGGGUCAUUGGAAACUGGGGAACUUGAGUGCAGAAGAGGAGAGUGGAAUUCCACGUGUAGCGGUGAAAUGCGUAGAGAUGUGGAGGAACACCAGUGGCGAAGGCGACUCUCUGGUCUGUAACUGACGCUGAGGCGCGAAAGCGUGGGGUGCGAACAGG